ACCUACGGGAGGCGCAGUGAGGAAUAUUGGUCAAUGGUCGGGAGACUGAACCAGCCAAGCCGCGUGAGGGACGAAGGUACAGAGUAUCGUAAACCUCUUUUGUCAGGGAACAAAGGCGGGGACGCGUCCCCGGAUGAGUGUACCUGAAGAAAAAGCAUCGGCUAACUCCGUGCCAGCAGCCGCGGUAAUACGGAGGAUGCGAGCGUUAUCCGGAUUUAUUGGGUUUAAAGGGUGCGCAGGCGGUCUGUUAAGUCAGCGGUCAAAUCCCGGGGCUCAACCCCGGCCCGCCGUUGAAACUGGCAGUC
rnacentral:rRNA from 1 species